rnacentral:rRNA from 1 species
GACGAACGCUGGCGGCGUGCUUAACACAUGCAAGUCGAGCGGUAAGGCCCUUUCGGGGGUACACGAGCGGCGAACGGGUGAGUAACACGUGGGUGACCUGCCCUUAGCUCUGGGAUAAGCCUGGGAAACUGGGUCUAAUACCGGAUAUGACUCCAUGACGCAUGUUGUGGGGUGAAAGCCUUGUGCGGCUAGGGAUGGGCCUGCGGCCUAUCAGCUUGUUGGUGGGGUNAUGGCCUACCAAGCGACGACGGGUAGCCGGCCUGAGAGGGCGACCGGCCGACACUGGGACUGAGACACGGCCCAGACUCCUACGGGAGGCAGCAGUGGGGAAUCUUGCGCAAUGGGCGAAAGCCUGACGCAGCGACGCCGCGUGGGGA